CCUACGGGCGGCUGCAGUGAGGAAUAUUGGUCAAUGGGCGGGAGCCUGAACCAGCCAAGUCGCGUGAGGGACGACGGUCCUAUGGAUUGUAAACCUCUUUAGGCGGGGAGCAAUGCCGGGCACGUGUGCCCGGCGGGAGAGUACCCGCAGAAUAAGCCUCGGCUAACUCCGUGCCCGCAGCCGCGGUAAUGCGGAGGAUGCGAGCGUUAUCCGGUUUUAUUGGGUUUAAAGGGUGCGUAGGCGGAUUUUUAAGUCAGCGGUAAUAUGUCCGGGCUCAAGCCGGGCCGGCCGUUGAUACUGGGGAGCUUGAGUGGGCGAGAAGUAGGCGGAAUGCGUGGUGUAGCGGUGAAAUGCAUAGAGAUCACGCAGAACUCCGAUUGCGAAGGCAGCAUACCGGCGCCCGACUGACGCUGAGGCACGAAAGCGUGGGGAUCGAACAGGAUUAGAUACCCGGGUAGUC
rnacentral:rRNA from 1 species